CCCCGGAGUAUCAGCCAUGUUUGCAAGAGGCUUUAGGGAAAGCCAACUGCAGACAUUACAAAGCCCAGAGAAGUCUCAGCUUCAGGUGCUGUGGGACAUGUCACCCACAACAGCAAACACAUCUUUACUCUCAUAGGAGGCACGCACUACAGCCAAUUACAGAAUGUUCUCUGGAGCAGCAGCACUCAUGAAUAAUAAAGCAGGC
rnacentral:lncRNA from 1 species